UGCUUCCCUGGGACUCGCUGGCUUUUAGCACCGCAAGUCCCUCAGCAAACUGGGACUGUUGAUCACCCUACCCGGCAGCCAGUGAUAAGGAAACAUACCGUUCCCUGAGUUUUCAUUUCCAGGCAUCUGCCCUGCCUGGAUCUCCUCGCCUUCCAGGAGCUUCCUCUUCACAAGCCGGCCAUCCCAGCAAAAGUUCUAACAUCGAAGGUCUAGCAACUAGCCUGCCAUCUUGUGCCUAGAGCCACCUGCGUGCCACCUACCCCCGAAGAUGGGAACCUCGUUGCCAGUUGGGGAGAUGCAGGGCAAUCCUGUACCAAGACCCCAUCUUACCACCUGUUUUCUCGGACCACUCUGGAACCCACUGUCUCAGAUUGGGUCUUCCAGGAAGCAGACUGUGAGAGGGAGUUGGCAGGACCAAAGGUUUACUGGGGCUAACUAACCCUCAGGAAAGGGACAGGAAGGAAGCAGGGCUGGAGAGCAGGUUGAGCCCGACCUGACAGUCUUGAGCAGCCUAGCAGGGAGGUGUGGAGCAAGGGUUGCCCACUAGAGGGGCCUGCAUUGGGCAUGGGUGGUGGGGUCCACAUGGUACCUGGCACACAGCAGGCUGUGCAAUCCAUAUUAACUGCCUGGAUGAAUUAAUGCCCAGGAAAGGUGCCCUGGAGAACGGGUAUGUGCUGAGCACAAUAGGGAAGGGCCCAGCAUCUGCCUUGGCAUAGGCAGAACUGUGCUGUGCCCUGCAACAGGCCACCCGAGAGCUGCUUUCAUCUUGUGUGUGCAUUAGACAACUGCCAGGGGCAUGAAGGGGAUGUGCUUCCAGGGCAUUUGCUGGCAGGGUGUCUCGUGAUCUCUUGGUAUUGGUGUGAGCACAGCCUGGCAGGAGAGGGCAGAUCUCAGUGCAAAGUAUCAUGUCAAAAAGCAGAUCGAAGCCAGGUCCCCUCCUGGAAGAGGCUCCUUGAAGGUAGGUGCACACUCAUGUCUUUGUUACUUGUAAGGGGGCAUCUUACAGGGAAGAGGAGUUAGGUGAAUGUGAAGAGGAAGGAACUGCUCACUCUGGGCAAGGGGCUGGGGGAGGCUUCGUAGAGGAGUGGGUGUUUGAGCUGGGCCUUGAAGGUCGAAAGGGUUUUGUUAGGUGGGAAAUGGGGGAAGGACAGCCUGAAGGGGUUAGGUACCUUCAAGGAGCCCAGAGAAGGUUGGUGGCUGGAGCAGACCCAUUCGUAGAGUGAAGUCAUGGGAGAAGAGGCUGGGAAACUAGAUUGGGUCCAACUCCUAAAGGCCCACUGAAGGAGUAUGGGUUGCACGCUGGGUGCAGCAGGUGAGUGUCCUCACUUGGGUUUCACUGUCAGCAUUUUUAAAAGGCAAACUGGUUCUCUUCCUGAGGAGAAUUCAUUGAUUCACUCAUGUGGCCAGUAAGUCAUCUGGGCCAGAGGUGGGUGGGGAGAUGAUCAGGGUGCAAGUGUCACCUUCAAUCACAGCAUAAUUGCCCUUGCUUUCUUAUCUCUCAUUUAGAUAUUUCAAUACUUGCUCAGGUUUCCUGUACCCUCCUUCAUUCUCCCUUCCCAGCCAUACUACUUAUGGGGAGACUUUCUCUUUAUAAAAUGACCGUUAGUCUUAUCAAAUUAAUCCUAAAGUAGUACCAUCAAUUUCCCCCUAAAAUACCAACAAGACCCCUGCUUGAAACUACUUGUACAUUAGGGACAGAGAAGAGUUCAUGAGAAUCAGCAUUUUCUGAGGACUCCAUCUGUCUUCUGAGAGAGAGUUCUCCUGCUGGUGCCUCCUCUGUAGUAAAGCAAAGGUAACAUUCCUGCAAGGCUUUGAAGCUUAUAACGUACUUGCCUUUAGGUUCUUGUGUUGUGUUCUGGGUCAGCAGGAAUGCCUCUCCAGGUCCUUUUUCUCAUCCUAAUGUGACACUGAAUUCUUCACAGGCUCCUGGGACCACAUUAUCAUUCUCUUCACUCAAGAGAUGAGGAUGCUGAAAUUCAGAGAGGGGAAGUGAUUUGCCUCAGCUUGUGCUAAAGAAACAUUUCAACAGAGAACCCAGUGGAAAUUAUGACAUGUUAUCUUCUCAGAGUCCUGAACUCCCAUCCCUACCUCAGAAGAGACUCCUCUGUUCACAGAAGCUAAAGGCAGUUCCUUCCCAGUGGCAACUAUGUUUGGAUGUUGGAUCUACACUUUCUCAAGCACUGUGAUCUUCAAAUGCAGCAUCCAGCAAGAGAAAGCCAGGAGGAGCUGACAGAGCCCUCAUCACUGCUUCCCUGACAGGAGGUAAGGGAAGCAAAAAAGAGCCUCUGAGGGACAGCUCACCUCUGCUCAGACCCACCACAGUUACAGCAUCUGUCCAGCUUUCUAUAGCACUUGAAGGUAAUCAGAUCCUACAGUUUGGUGUUCAAGGCCACAACACCUGGUCCCAGUCCAUCUUGCCAGUCUCCUAUGUUUCCUCUUUCUCCAUCACUCAUGUAGUCUAUGCAUGGGCCACACUCAAUCAUUCUGCAUUUCCCGUAGUUCCCUACUUGUGGGAUAUUGCUCAUACUAUUUAUUUGGCCUGAGACCCUUCCCCACCUUCACCCUCAUUCAUGUGUUCAGCAAAUUUGUAUUGAGUACUACAUGCCAGGUACUCUUCAGGUUCCAUGGGGACUUCUGAGAAUUUAGGACUCCUUUCUCUCAGGAGCAAGUACACUGCCUACUGAGGGGAUAAGACAUGUACACAUAACUAGACUCCAAGGUGAAAGGGACAAACAUACACAUCCAUCUGAGGAAAACUGCAUCUUCCUACAAGUUUUCUCAGCACCUCUUUAGAAUCAGGUGUGCUAGGUUUGCUCAAAAUGGCAGUGCUGGAGGAAGAAUUCACAUUGUCUUUGGUAGUCCUGAGUGCGGGACCUGAAGGACUCCUAGGCAUGAAGCAGAGUGACAAAAUAGACCAGUUUCUAGUGACAGAAAGUGGCAGAAUCGUGAUCCUCUAUAAGGUUUCUGAAUAGAAACCCUUGGGGAGCUGGUCAGUGAAACAGGGUCAAAUUAUAACAUGUCCAGUUGUGUGCAACCUUCAAACUGGAGAGUAUAUUGUUGUACACAAUAGUAAAGUUUUAAGAAUAUGGAAUAAUGAAGAUGUAAACAGGGAUAAAGUAUUUAAAGCUACAUUGUCAGCUGAAGUAUAUAGGAUACUUUCAGUGCAAGGGUCAGAACCCUUGGUGCUCUUCAAGGAAGGUGUUAUUUAUGGUUUAGAGGCCUUGCUUGCAGACCCCCAGCAGAAAAUUGAAACUGUUAUCUCUCAUGAAGUGAUUAAAUAGAUAAAGUUUUUCAUAGUAUUCAGACUUCCUGUUUUAAUGUUUAUUACUGAAAAACAUGGAAAUUACAUUGCUUAGGUGCAAAUGUUUAACUCACAUAUCUUAACCAAAUAUACACUCUUACUUGGACAAGACAAAAACUCUUUUAUAGAGAGUUUUACUGCAUCAGUAGAUCAAAAAUUCAUCUCUUUGAUGUCAUUAAGCUCUGAUGGUUGUAUAUAUGAAACCUUGAUACCAAUACGUCCAACUGACCCAGAAAAAAAUCAGAGCUUAGUUAGAUCACUGUUGCUCAAGGCUGUUGUGUCUGGUAAUGCUCCAAAUGGAGUUGCACUCACUGCCCUGGAUCAGGAUCACGUCACAGUCCUAGGAAGUCCACUAGCAGCUUUUAAGGAAUGCCUCUCUGUAUGGAACAUAAAAUUUCAAACACUACAGACUUCAAAAGAGUUACCACAAGGGACCAGUGGUCAACUCUGGUAUUAUGGGGAAAAUUUGUUUAUGCUACAUGGAAAAUCUCUAGCUGUGAUUCCAUACAACUGUGAAGUGUCAUCAUUAGCAGGUGCUCUUGGAAAACUCAAGCAUAGUCAAGAUCCAGGAACUCAUGUUGUGCCCCAUUUUUGUAAACUGGGAAACACCUCAAGGAUGUGGACUUGGGUCCCAGAACUCAGAGCAGUUAAGAAGAAUUUUAAGGAGAUGAAAAAUUGAAGUGAGUUUAUAGCCAGAGGUAUCACCAUCCAAACAACUUUUGUCAACCAUAAUGAAAGAUUCAGAAAAGCACAUUGAAGUAGAAGUAUGGAAAUUUUUGGCUCUGAAGCAGACACCUGACUUUCAUACUGUCGUUGGGGACACAGUAACAGGACUUCUGGAAAGGUGUAAAGCAGAACGAUCAUUUUAUCCCCGGAACUGUCUGAUGCAGCUUAUCCAAACGCAUGUGCUUUCUUACAGUUUGUGCCCUGACUUAAUGGAGAUUGCCUUAAAAAAGAAAGAUGUACAGGUGUUACAACUCUGUCUACAGCAGUUCCCUGACAUUCCUGAAUCAGUCACCUGUGCUUGCUUAAAAAUUUUCUUGAGCAUUGGUGAUGACAGUCUUCAAGAAACAGAUGUCAGUAUGGAGUCAGUUUUUGACUAUAGUAAAUCUGUACAUGAUGAGAAAAUGGAAGAGCAAACUGAAAUUCUUCAAAAUGGCUUCAAUCCUGAAGAAGAUAAAUGCAAUAACUGUGAUCGAGAGUUAAAUAAAAAGCCCCAGGACAAAACAAAGGAGACCACUUCAUGCCCUGUGAUACCAAAAGGAGCAGCUCUACUUAAUGCAAUUCUUCAUUCAGCAUAUAGUGAAACAUUUCUUCUGCCUCAUUUGAAAAACAUCCCAGCACAGCAUACCACGCUGUUUCUCAAGUAUUUGUAUUUCCUUUAUCUGAAGUGUAGCAAAAAUGCUACUAUGACUCUUCCUGGAAUAUACCCACCUACCUAGAACCAGAUUAUGGAUUGGAUAUGUCUACUUCUGGAUGCAAAUUUUACUGUUAUAGUAAUGAUGCCAGAAGCAAAGAGGCUACUGAUAAAUCUUUACAAGCUUGUAAAAUCUCAGAUAUCUGUUUAUUCCGAGCUCAACAAGAUUGAAGUAAGUUUUCAGGAGCUACAGAAAUUAAAUCAAGAAAAGAAUAAUAGAGGAUUAUAUUCAAUUAAAGUGCUGGAGCUCUUCUGAUAUUACCAAUUCUCCUUCAUAGACAUUUUAUAAAGCUCUUUUAUGUGAACUCUUGCUUCAUCCAGGGAAGAAUGGUGUUUUGUUUGCAACCAUCUCGGUGUCAAGAGAAACAUGUCAGUGAGUACCUGGACCAUCACUUAUUGAUGCUCCGGGGUAGGACUGCAGGUUUCACAUGAACCUAUUCUAGGUUGUGGACAUUGGUGUGCAGAGGUUCUGCAAUUUUUAAAAAAUAUGUAACUGGGUUGAUUUUAAGUAAAAUUAUUUGUGUAUUGAUAAAAGUCUAAUUUCUUA